GUUAUCUGUGGUGGCGCUUUGUUCAAUCUUUUUGUUUUCUUUUCUUUUUUGAUUUCUUUUUGUCUCUAUCUUUAUUGGCCAUAAUUUUACGCAUCCUGCAACUAGCUCUACCAAUGUUCUUACAUGCAGUAUGUUAUUUUGGCUGGCAUAUUUGGAUAAAAAGAUAAAGCCGUACAGUAGGAGAAACAGAAGUCUGUAUUGAAUGACAAACAACGACAGCAAAGCCAUGGAGGCAUGCAUAAAUACUUGAAUAUGUAAUAUAUAAAAUGAGGUGUCAUUCAUUGAAAUUGGACAUUUCAGGCCUUAUUUAUUGAUUCGUGUUUACUACUCAGAUGUGAUAUCCAACAUCCAUGAUGGCUACGAACUACGAACUGAUGUAGAGAUCUCAUCAUCCUCCCUCCAGGUAGAUGUUGGCAAAGUUAAUACUCAGCUAACUGCAAGCCACUGUAACUACCUAAUAAAGACAGAGGAAAGAAUGUGACAUAUUUUCCACCAUAGAGAGGCAGUUUCUCAAUUCUGAUGUCCAUUGAUCAUACCACAAAGCCCAACUCAUAUAGAGACCCUAUCAUCGUCCUUGCAAUUUUGGCUAAGUUGAUACCAGCUACUGUAAGCAACAGUGACCACUUGAUCUAAACAGUUCAUCAUGUUGUACACAGAUCUAAGGAAAAAGUGACAUAUUUUACCACAUUAUUCUUUCUGAUGCCCAUUUGUCCGAUCCAUUUUGACCAACUGCUGUUUUAGAGACUUCGUCAUCCUCUAUGUAGAUCUCAGCUAAGUUGAUACUAGCUUCUGUAAGCCACCAUGAUCAAAAGUCAUCAAGUUUCAUACAGAUCUAGAGAAAAAGUAAAAUGUUCCCAUCGAAAUGGUUUGCAAAUGUAUGGUAACAUCCUCAAGAGAGAAGCAAAGGUUACAUAGAUACAGCAUCAGUCAUCUUUCGAUAAUUAGACUUUCCGGUAUUUUUCAGAUGUUAUUAUCAAGAUGGAUACACAUAGGAUCAAUCAAACCUGACUUAUGGAUGGAGAUUCUACCUCAUCAAUUUUUUUAACCUAGGAGGAAUGUACCUGCGUGGUGUGUGGUAGCUAUGGUGAUGUCCAUUAGAGAAAUUGUGCUUCAGAGGCAGUUGAUCGACCAAAUAUUUACAGAAAACAUCAACAAUUGAAAAGUAAAACUCAAUCUCAAAGCAUCAACAUAAUGCGCCUAACUAGUUAAUUCACCUUUGCUAGGACCUCGAAAGUCAGAAAAGAUCCAAAUGCAACCUAAACCACAGUUACAGUCAAAGGCAUGCUGAUAGCGAGAAGAGUGCUUUUUUUUUUCAUUUUAUUAUAUGUAGUUAUUUCAUUUUAUAUUAUAUUUUUUGUUUUUAAGUCAAAAUACAAAAAAAAACUUGCAAGUUUAAAAGACUUGUAAACAUUUAAUGCGGGGUACUCACUGCAGCCAAUGGGUCGUCAGCCGACGCGAUCUCUUGCAGAACAUAAAGCCACAAUGCAUGCGCAACGGUAAGUUUUUUAAUGAGGAUCUGUUCAGAAUGCUACCGACAACCAGCAGACUGCAUUAUGUCAUCUAGCGCUCACGUCAGGCGGAGUUAAAUUCAUUGGCCGUCGGUCGUACCACUCGGCUUUACAUUUGAAAUGAGGGCAUUUGCUUAUGCAUGUGUUUACGCAGGUAGUGCAUUUAACUAUUUUCAUGAUAUUGAGCUUUUGGUCGUAAACGUAGAACAUAAACGCAAAACAAAUUCAAUUUAUCCGUAACUGGCAUCGUAUGCAUUUUACAUUCUAUCAUAAAUCAAUUUCAGUUUUUGCUAACAUGUACGCAGCUGAGAUAUAUGCACUGACGCAAAGACGGGUGCACCAUUUUUUAAUACAAUACAGUCCUCGUAGAGUCUCUUAAGACUGUACAUUCUUAAUAAUCGCAGAUCAAAAGCUCUAUAAUAAAUAGAUACGUCAUACUACUUGGUAGAGUACAAUUCUGUAUAGUUUUAGAAUAUUUAUAGUAGGCUACUGGCUAAUUAAUGAUAAAUAAUUCAAUGAUUUUAUUUUAAUUAAUUUUAUCUUUUACAUAGGUUGCUGCAUCAGUCGUAUGUAUGUAGGUAGUGCAUUUAGCUAUUUUCAUAAUCAUACCCAUUAGAUGGUUGACCUGUUAAAUAAUACUCUAUACAGUUUAAUCUUUGGAUUGCUUUGUUUAUUUUAUUCAAUAAUGGCUUUCAUUUGAAAAUUUGAAAUGAAAAAAAAAUUAUCGAUAAUGUUUCUAUAUUUUUUCAAACACCCGUAAAUCGUAUCAUUAGCCAAAUUAGCCAAAGAGUUUUGUCGGAUGGAUUUAUUCGAUGUACACCAGGGAAAACCCACGAAAGUCUAGAAGAAGACUUAUUUCUCAGGGACAGAUUUGGUGGGGGUGGGGGAGGGAAUGUGGGCUGGCUAGCCACUGCCCUCCCCUCCCCUCCCCUCCCCUUUUGGAAAGUUAAAAAAAAAAGAAAUAAUUGAUAGCCAAAACGUCUCAUAGGUUAUUUUCGGGCGUCUAAGAAACAUGGAGCUAAGCUGUUUUCAAUAACAAUUGUCUGUAACUUAGAGAAUUAAAAAUUUACAGAAAAUGAGUAUAAAGCCCUUUGACAAAAUAAAAUGUCAUGAUGUGACUAUAUAAUUAAUUGCCUAUAUAAUUAAUUUCCUAUAUAAUUAAUUGCCUAUAUAAUUAAUGUCAUCAUGUGAUGUCAUUCAUUAGGCAUGUGACAUGUUUUUGUCAAAAAAAAGGCUUUAAAGCCUUACUUAGAACAAUUGUAUUGCAUUUCUUUCCUUUUUAUUUUACACACGAUCAUUGAGCUGUCAUGUUUUUAAAACCAUUUCCGCUUCCUAUACUUUCACACCUACUACACUGUAUUCUGUGCCCAUUGAAAGUAAUGUGGUAUUUUGAGGCAUAAUACGUACUAAAAUAUCUUUAUAAUGCUUAAGAUAGACCAAAAUGCCUAAAUUUUCAUGUGCAGGCCCCAAUAUUCUCUGUCGAAUUGCCUAUUGGACAUCUUAGCCCCAGCCUUCGAGCGACACCAUGCUACUACUAACUCAAUAUUUGAGGUUUUCCCACAUCCAAUUUUAGAACAUUAUGACAUAUAAUUUAUAUAAAUAGUAUAUAUAUUGUUCAUAAAUACGUCUAGAAUUGAUACACCUAUUGUACCUUCCAGCCGAAUAAACUAUACAAACAGAAAUGUGAGAAUAGUCAAAUAGUCAAAUUAAAAAAAAAACAAAAAAAAAAAACGUUAACAUUUUAAAAACAACUGUCAACAUUAAUUUUUUAAAAUAUAUUUAUAGGUUAGAAGUUCGAGCACAGUAUGCUUUUUUUUUUAAAUUAUAGUUUCUCUUUAUGUUUACAUGUUUACCAAAUAUUUUAGAUAUUAUAGUGUGGCUAUUAAAUGGUUUCAAGGCGAUGGAAUGUCAA
rnacentral:lncRNA from 1 species